GUCCACGCCGUAAACUAUGGGUGCUAGCCGUCAGGAAGCUUGCUUUUUGGUGGCGCAGCUAACGCAUUAAGCACCCCGCCUGGGGAGUACGGUCGCAAGAUUAAAACUCAAAGGAAUUGACGGGGGCCCCGCACAAGCGGUGGAGCAUGUGGUUUAAUUCGAAGCAACGCGCAGAACCUUACCUACCCUUGACAUGUCCAGUAUGGGCUCCGGAGACGGGGUUCUUCAGUUCGGCUGGCUGGAACACAGGUGCUGCAUGGCUGUCGU
rnacentral:rRNA from 1 species